rnacentral:lncRNA from 1 species
CACUUCUCCCCUUGCAGAACUCUCACGGCCUCCGCGUGCGGAAGAAAGAGGUGUACCUGCCCUCGUCCAUCUUCCAGGAUGACUUUGUGAUCCCAGACAUCUCAGAGCCAGGGACCUGGAAGAUCUCAGCCCGAUUCUCAGAUGGCCUGGAAUCCAACAGCAGCACGCAGUUUGAGGUGAAGAAAUAUGUCCUUCCCAACUUUGAGGUGAAGAUCACCCCUGGAAAGCCCUACAUCCUGACGGUGCCAGGCCAUCUUGAUGAAAUCCAGUUAGACAUCCAGGCCAGGUACAUCUAUGGGAAGCCAGUGCAGGGGGUGGCGUAUGUGCGCUUUGGGCUCCUAGAUGAGGAUGGUAAGAAGACUUUCCUUCGGGGGCUGGAGAGUCAGACCAAGGUAGGAAGGAGAAUAGGGGCUGGGGAGGGGAAGGGGCAAGGGAGGUGAGACUCAGUCUCACCCUAUGUCCUGUUUCUUUCUGUGCCUCAGCUGGUGAAUGGACAGAGCCACAUUUCCCUCUCAAAGGCAGAGUUCCAGGAUGCCCUGGGGAAGCUGAAUAUGGGCAUUACUGGCCUCCAGGGGCUGCGCCUCUACGUUGCUGCAGCCAUCAUUGAGACUCCAGGUGGGUGACUUUCCCUUAUUGUAACCCCAGACCUCACCUCUGACCUCUGAGCUAACCCUCUGUCCUCCAGCACCAACACCACGCCACUUCUCCCACCUCGUCUUAGACUCAAAACCAGGAAACACCCAGGAGACCUGGUCUCUCUCCAACUCUGUCUCUGUGACUCGGCCCUUUUC